UACGUAGGGGGCUAGCGUUAUCCGGAAUUACUGGGCGUAAAGGGUGCGUAGGUGGUUUCUUAAGUCAGAGGUGAAAGGCUACGGCUCAACCGUAGUAAGCUCUUGAAACUGUGAGACUUGAGUGCAGGAGAGGAUAGCGGAAUUCCUAGUGUAGCGGUAAAAUGCGUAGAUAUUAGGAGGAACACCGGUGGCGAAGGCGGCUAUCUGGACAGUAACUGACGCUGAGGCGCGAAAGCGUGGGGAGCAAACAGGAUUAGAUACCCGCGUAGUCCCUGA
rnacentral:rRNA from 1 species